UAAAACGACUCUCGGCAACGGAUAUCUCGGCUCUCGCAUCGAUGAAGAACGUAGCGAAAUGCGAUACUUGGUGUGAAUUGCAGAAUCCCGUGAACCAUCGAGUCUUUGAACGCAAGUUGCGCCCGAAGCCAUCCGGCCGAGGGCACGUCUGCCUGGGCGUCACACACC
rnacentral:rRNA from 2 species